GAGGCGCAGUGACGGCUUCCCGCACCAGCAGCGGGCUUGAGACUUGACCGUGCCAGCUGGGUUAGGAGGCCUCAUUUCUUCACAAAAGCCCUGUGAAAUCGGUAAGGAGGACUAUUUCCAUUUUGCAGAAGAGGAAAUCGAAGCCCUGCGAGGCGAAGCGGCUGACUCCCGACGGCACGGUGAGAAGAUGAAGGAAGUGGGACCUAAGGAAGUUAAGGAACAAGUCCAAGUGCAAGGGUCUUGGAUCUCCACGCAGGACUGUCUGAGCUCUCCUAGAGGUUUUUGAUGUUUGUAGGCUGUGCUGGGUAAGGAAGGAAGAGAUCAGAAGUCGGCAGGAAACCAAAGAAGUCAUGUGUGAGGCUGUAGACCCAAGGCCUUUGGGAUGAGUUUGGUUAAGAAGAGGAACUGCAGACACGGAGUUAGAGCGCAUCCUUGGUGAACACUGAAUUGCAACUGAAGCCGACUUCAAGCGUGAACUUCAGCCUUGGAUGCCUUUGCACGUCUGCGCCGUGGCUGGGAAGGAUCUACCAAGUGUGUUUGGGAACAGAGGGCUGCCCGGUGGGAAUCAGGAGAGGGAUCCCGGAGCCCAGGGCUGCUGCGGUCCUGUCCCAAAUCAACCCCGUUUCCAUCUGGAUGAAUAGAAACCGUGUCCAGGGCAACGUGUCAGGAACUGUGCAGACGUUUCAUGUUCGGGGUAACAGGGGAAAUGGAGAAUGGGAGUUUGCUUAGAGAAGGCCACGGGGUGAGGGGGUCUUCAGGGGACCCUCUCAAAGCAGUUUUAAAUUUACAGAAUGAAGGUUGCUCUUUUGGCCACAGAAAGGGUGGACUUGAGUUUUUCAUUCAUAAUGGGCCCACAUAUGGGAGAAGGAAUGCCAGCAACUGAUUGGGUUAAAGCCUAACGCCUUUCUAUAAAAGAAGUCCAGAUGGCAGAUACAGCAACUCUAAGUUUAUUGUCCGUCAUCCUUCGUGCCUGGCUUUCAUACUGAAGAUUACCUCAACGUCUCACCUGAGAGUUGGAGCUCCAGUCAUCACGUCCUCAUUUCAGGCAGGCCUGGUAUUUACUCAGAACACACAGGGAUGGCCACUUAGCAGUUACCAUAUCAACGUACUUCUGAAUGAGUGGGCGAGUAGCUGCUGUCUCUUGGCCUCCGUAGAUCAUCUCCCAGGCACAGCAACUAAAGAAUUAACACAGGUCCCAGCAGGACUCUUCAGGACUUUGCUUAGCACUAAGGUGGACUGGUUGAACAAGUUCAAAAUUGCCCUCUGUGGAGAGCAGGACCAAUAUAAUGGCCUAGAGUAUAUAAAACAGAGUGGAGUCACUCUGGUCAACCAAGAUGGCUACCAGUCAGCCAUGACACUUUGGUUCAAGAGCAAAAUCACCUAAGUCAGAGCAGACAUGUCUGACAAGGAGACACACUUAAGACAUUUGCACACGUGAUCAGAGCAGCCGUGACUACGGAGUGGGACCACUCACAGAGGGGCUCCUGGGGAAAGUCCUUACUUGGCGUCAGGGUGGCCAGAACACUUACUUAUCAAAAGGCCCAGAAGGGUGGAGGCACCCCUUUCAAGGUACAACUGAGGCAGGCUCCAGACCACUGCUGAGACCGCUGAGCCCCACACCCCAGAGGGCUGCUCCAUGCCACGCUGAUCUCCCUUGGCAUCGGCUGCUGGAGGCUCUGCCCUGCUGGACUGAGGACUCCCUUGCCCACCGUGCUGUCUCUCGGACCAGCAGACCAAGUCUCUGGGGCUCAGGUUUGUUAUCCCCCACUGAUUGCUCUGUGCACGUGUGUGUUUUAUAUUUCUCCUAGACUGUCAGAGUGUGAGUAGGAUGUUAGUGUGUGCUGACGUUCUACUUUGAGUGAACCUGCAUUCACUAAAAGCUGUAUGAACAGCACAGUUACUGUGUGUGACUCUUGUCUGUUCCUUGGUACUGGGCUGCUCGGUAGAGCCUUGGUCCUGGCUGACUUAUGGGAAAGGCCCAAUUCUAGGUAUAAAGCAGAGAGAGACAACUAAAGGGCUGAUUUUCCAGGUAAGCUGGUCUCCUUUACAGAGCCUUUCUCACGAGCACCACCCAUCCCCUUCUGCUCAUUGGCCACUCCAUCUGAAGUGCAGGCUGGGAAAUGUAGUUCUGUAGCCUUCAAGAUGUCAUCCUUCCAACAAUAUCAAGGUCUCUUCUAAGGAAGCAGGAGUGUUGGGCAGGCAAUCCUACU